UACCCACAAUGCGUCUGUCUGUUUACGCACGGGACACCUGAAACUGAGCGGCAGGCCUACCUGUAGUUUCGGCUGGAGUGUGGCUGAAGUGAUAAGCACGCUACAAAGGCUUUUGAAAUACGAGUUGGGGGUUACUAAUUCGACGAGGAGACGCACAAGAAACAAGGAUCAGAGCUGGCUGCAAACACGCUGUGACCGUAGCUGUUACUGUGGCCUCCAUCCGCUUUUGGCAGCUCACCCUCCUCAUCCUGGCAUGUGUUCCCUUCCUGUCUGAGGCCAAUUUCAUCCAAAUGAGGGCAGCGGCAGGACAUUCCUUUGAGAACCAGGAGUUCUAACAAGCGGAAAGCAUGUGGGCUCUGACAAGAUGUCCUCCAGUACUGCAACAAAAUGAGACAUCGUCCGCGUUGGAGAGCAGGAGGGAGGUUGGAAAGAGCAGAUGUCCGUCUGCAGUGCGAGCUGCCAAGUGGGUCCGGAGUGGGGCAGCCACAGACACAAGGGCCCAAAUGGUGUGACAAAAGAUGUGCAGGAAGCCCCUCUUCGCCUGGGUGAGCCACAGAGAGGGUCUCCCCUCUCUGCCAGCCUGCAGGGACGCUCGCAACACGAGCCAGAGUGGUGGCAGCAAAGCCAUGUGUUACCGGCUGGGCUGCACGGUACGCCGACACUCAUAUUCACACAAACAUAGAUACACAUGCAUAUGCAGGAAUGUGCAAAUUCAGGCCAAUCCCACCCCCCGUCGCCAUCAGCGCACGCUCACACCUGCGCGUUGCACUCAGCAUAAAAUGUACACACAUUAAUGGUUUUUCUGAAACCUUCAUAUAGUUACCCAGUCAGAUAUUUUCAUUAUUUAUCUUUCAAAUGAGCAGCUGUCAAUAAUGCAAAACGUGGUGACAUGAUUGUUAAUGAUAAACAUAACAGAAACAACAGUAAACAAACACAAACCACUCUAUCUAUCUGUCUAUCUAGCUAGUAUUUUACCCAACUCGGAGCUGGUGUGUCAUUUUUCCUUUGCCCAUAAGGUCAUGAAAAGUGGGUAAAAAGGCCUUGAAAGUGUUCCAAGCACAGGUGUGCAGCAUGGCCUGCACUGAAGGGGUGCACUGAACCAUAAACAAUGAUAUAAAUGUCUGGCAAAUAAAAUGGCUAGUUAACAAUCUUUUGACUGCUCUAACCUCUGAGCCUUUGUCGGGUAUCGAUCAGCCAGCUGUUCCUGGCUUUGUCUGGCAGGACGGGAGCCUCUGGUUCCUCCUGGGAUGAAUGGAGAGAGCCGCCAAAAAAACUCUCAUCUGCUUUUCAAGUUGCGCCUGUCAGGAGCAAAAGUCUAAACAAGACGCUGAUCAUCGCCUCCCAUAGGUCAACAUUUAUGUAUUUAUUACAUUCACAUAAAAUAAAAUCAUAAAAUGAGCUUGCCAGGCUCCUCAGGCUGUUUUAAAGCUUUAAUUUUAACAUUGCUUAUUAUAUUUAACAACCCUGGCACUGGCUUCUUUGUUCAUAGUUGCCAUGUUGUUGGUUUACAUGGAAACCAUGUAAAUGGUAAUUUGGACGGGCAUAAUUUGUCUCCCUAUAUUAAGAUAAUUGUAUGUUAAAUAACGUACAUCCUCAGAAUUGCAGUGGGUGUCAUGUGAUGGGUCUUGUCACGCAAAUAUGUCAAGACAGGGUGAUAAUGGUCCGUCUCAGCAGCUGUCAGUCAAAGAGCAGCAGCAAUGACACUCCAGAACUCUGUAGCUCAGGUUUUAUGGUGGCUGCCAGUGCUGCCGUCCUGCUCCCAAGUCUGUCUAACUAUUAAGAAAAUAUAGUUUAGGCGUAUAAUUCAUCCAGGCAGUUGUUGGAUAGUCUUGCUGGAUGUUAUGAUCUCCAUUUCCCAGGCCACUUGUUUGCCUGGCUGAGGUGAUAGAUUGCAGUGUUUCAAACGCAGGCUGUGUAUACGUAACAGAGAUAACAGUGUAUUUUGAUGCCAUUUGCCUUGACUGCUACAUCCGUGGGCCAUGAGGUCUUCUUAUUGACUUUCAGCGAGUCCAACAUUGCACUUUGUCAGAGUGAGCGGCAGUCUAAGAGACAGGCGGGCGAGGCAGUCAUACAAAGUGAAGUACUUAGGAUUAGCCCUGGCUCUUCAAGUUUCAGUAAUUAUCCUCCUGGAGGCAUUCUUGCUGUGUUGGAUAAUAAUGGAAGUCCGGGUGCACGCCUGUCACCUCUCAAGUGUGGGUGGAGGAAGCCAACGAGAGGCGCAGGACAGAGAAAUGUUUGCUUUUCUGUUAUGUCAUCGGAGGAGCACUACAGUAGGGCAAACUUGUAUUAUUUCCCUGGGCAAGGAUGAAGCGUCGCGACGACGAUUUUCUUCUGCUUAACAUGUGACACGCACAACUUGGAAUCUCUUCAGCUGUGUGUGAUGUGAUAAUGAAACAUGUUCUCCAGAGGUGAUAAUGUGUUCUGAGAUCAAGUGUAAUUACCAAGUGUCAGGCAUGUGUUUUUGAUAAACAAAUCUGUGAAAACACACAGUUGCAUUAUUUGUUGAGAGUGAGCGUCAUCUGAUUGGCGUUGAUUACAUUUGCAAGCUGCACAAAUAUGUGAUCCUUUUGCUUCCUUAUUUCCCUCUCUUGUCAGAUAUUCACAGAGGAAGAACUAUGUUUUUUUUUUUUCACCAAUCCUGAUGUGUUGUUUCGGUUCAUCUACCACGUCAUCCUUAAAAGUUUCAUUUAAGUGCAUGUAUGAAUGUUAGAAAGGCCCUGAUAUCCAGCAGAGAAAACACAAUGCUUUAAUUAAGAGUCAGUCCGAUUUCCCAGAGGGGAGAUUGUCUUCUUCCAUUAACUUAGUUUAUCAUAUAAUAAAGAGGUUGCCUUGUCCUUCCCUACCCAGACAAUUGGUUUUAAUCAGCCAGCACGUCUUUCAUGGCUGAUAAUUUAUGCUAAAUUGACAAGGGUGGAGGAUAUCACAGAAAAUCAUUAUGACAGUGCUCAGGUCACUGCCUGUCACCAUCUUGUUUUAGCCUGUCCACUGUGCGCAUGGACAACAGCCAAAUUCACAAGUGGGAAAUAAGUGUGAGGGAAAUAUUAGCUCUGGAGACUGCUUAUCUCACCUUUUGAAAAAUAAUUAUCUCAAAUACAUUUUAUGCAUUGUUUGAAAGUUCUGGGCACAUUUUCAUUUGAAGUGAAAUUGAGAUUAUAGGCUAUUAUUAAAUUGAAGGGAUAUGAUGAUUUUUUUGUAGCGUAAACAACACACAGGCAGGCGUCUGUUUUGCAUCUGUCUUGUAAAAAUGAAGUCAGAAGAAAAGCACAGCACACCGGCGACAGAUUAUUCUGCUGAUUGCACGUCUGAGUCCAGAAAUGUCUGUUGUGACUUUGGUUUUUAAGUGCAGGCUGUGCAAGUGUGAAAGUACAAAUUGUGAUUUGAAGUAAGGGGGGGGUGAGAGGAUGAGCACGGGGAGGAAGCUUGAACACAGUUCUCGCCUUGCAAUUUAAUCACUGUAUACCCAGGGAAGUAUUGACAGUUGUCCUGUGGAAGCUAUUAAAGUUGCUGUCCAAGGUUAAAUGAAAUUGCAGUUUAUCAAGGCAGCAUUGAGAAAAUAAGGGAAUCUGUUCAUGGCUGUUGAUUAAUGUGGAGCGUGAUCAACACAAGGGGUUCAUUAAGCUAUACAUCACCAGGGUAAUUUAACAUGUCAUCGCGCCUGCUGUCGCUCCCCUUCACAUGUUUUGUGCAUUGUGUAUGUUUGCUGUGUAUGUGCGAAUCUUUGUGUGAGCGCCGACCUCACGUUCUGAGACGUGGUUGUGCCUGUACGCCUUUGUGUUUGCAUGAUCAAACUUCAAAAUCUCCCCUGUUAUCACUGUAAACCACACAGCAGUGUAAAGAUCUCCCCCGGACACUGAAACGCUAUGUGGGCAUAAUACAAACACAGCAGAGCUGAAGGUGAAAUCCUGCAGAGUGAGUUUUUUUCCAAAAAUGUUGUAAUUUUAGCUCAAAGUAGUAGUAGUUUUUUUUUUGUUUUUUGUUAUUUUAAAUCCUUAUCAUCAUCUCUUCUUAUCCUUUUAUUAGCAUACUGUUCAUUUCAUCACGGCCCUGAUUUGAUCACUUGUAGUUGCACCGCAGCUGACAAGCAUACAUAGAGGUAUGCUAAUCAGGCCUGGGACCUGGAGCUGUUUUUUUUUUUUUUUUCCUGGUGGAUUUGUUUACUGGUGGAUAAUUGAUGGUGCUUGAGGGACAGGCGUGAGUCGGACAUGAAUCAUGGGCGACAGGGCUCAUGAUAAGGAGCUGAAAGUCGCCUGUAAUUAAGCCGGGCACUAGAGACCAAUUGUUUGUAGAAUGAUUUGGUCGGGGCUAAUUGACACUAAUUGUUUAAUCAGAUUUUCUUGCCCUCCAUACUGCAAGCAAGUGUGCUUUACC